AUUGAACGCUGGCGGCAGGCUUAACACAUGCAAGUCGAGCGGAGAUGAGGUGCUUGCACCUUAUCUUAGCGGCGGACGGGUGAGUAAUGCUUAGGAAUCUGCCUAUUAGUGGGGGACAACAUUCCGAAAGGAAUGCUAAUACCGCAUACGUCCUACGGGAGAAAGCAGGGGAUCUUCGGACCUUGCGCUAAUAGAUGAGCCUAAGUCGGAUUAGCUAGUUGGUGGGGUAAAGACCUACCAAGGCGACGAUCUGUAGCGGGUCUGAGAGGAUGAGCCACCACACUGGGACUGAGACACGGCCCAGACUCCUACGGGAGGCAGCAGUGGGGAAUAUUGGACAAUGGGGGGAACCCUGAUCCAGCCAUGCCGCGUGUGUGAAGAAGGCCUUAUGGUUGUAAAGCACUUUAAGCGAGGAGGAGGCUACUGAGACUAAUACUCUUGGAUAGUGGACGUUACUCGCAGAAUAAGCACCGGCUAACUCUGUGCCAGCAGCCGCCGUAA
rnacentral:rRNA from 1 species